GACCGCCAUCAUUUACUCCCCCUUAUUUUAGUAGGCGCCAGUCUUCUUCAUCUGGCCGCAUUGCAUCAAUAUGGAUCAAAUAAUCCAUUGGGUGUACAUUCUGAGAUGGAUAAAAUUGCUUCUUACCCUUAUUUUUAUGUAAAGGAUCUUGUAGGUCGGGUAGCUUCUGCUAUCUUUUUUUGCAUUUGGAUUUUUUUGCUCUGA
rnacentral:rRNA from 1 species